rnacentral:misc_RNA from 1 species
CCGCGAUCAUCGACUGCGACUGAUCGCGGCGCGCGGCGAAAUCGGCGAGCGACCUGGUGACAUCGGGAUCAAGAUAGACUGUGAAUUUCGUCUUCUUCCUGAUGUUGGCCACGGCGUUCACAACUCCAUGUUGUCGCCGGGAUCGAGCGAGACCUGCCGGGCGAGACCCUGCAUCUGACGGAGCAUCCGUCGAUUGCGCACAGCGUCGCCCUCGUCAGUAUCGUCGGGCGGCUCGAACUCGUUGUCGAUCGGCGCCUUCUUCUCCACC